UACGUAGGUGGCAAGCGUUGUCCGGAUUUACUGGGCGUAAAGAGCGCGCAGGCGGUCGUUCAAGUCGCGUGUGAAAGCCCCCGGCUCAACUGGGGAGGGUCACGCGAUACUGAUCGACUCGAAGGCAGGAGAGGGAAGUGGAAUUCCCGGUGUAGUGGUGAAAUGCGUAGAUAUCGGGAGGAACACCAGUGGCGAAGGCGACUUCCUGGCCUGUUCUUGACGCUGAGGCACGAAAGCUAGGGGAGCAAACAGG
rnacentral:rRNA from 1 species